UCAUAACGGUAUCAACUGCCUAUAUCCCGGCUUGGCUGCUGCCUCUCUCAUUCUCCUUCAAUACCUGGAGACACAAAGCUCACCGGCAGGAGUAGAAACAACUGGCAGGAGAAACACACUUGGCUGAGCACUAUGGCCCCGAGAUGGAUGAUCACACUGUGGGAGACGAUAACUGCCUGCUGUCCAUGCAGAAGAUACAGGAGCUGGAAUGCACAGAGAAGAGAUGCCCACUUGCCUCGCCAUACCAGGCUUGAGGAAGAAAUGCCUCCAACCAAGCCAGUGGGUUAUGAUCACACUGAUGGCAGUUUAUCCAAAAAACUAUCUCCCAGUGAGAAGAACAAGGAUCGCCAGAUAAAAGUCCUCGAUCUCAUUAACAAACAGUUAGUCGAGGAGAACAACUUGUUAGCAGCAGAAAACACCUUAUUAAAGAUCAAGGUUGAAAUGCUUAAAGACACGCUAACGAAGGUCAUAGAGCUGUUGUAGGCCCCUGUGUAACUCCGCCGCUGUUACGGAGGCUCACCCAGUAGCUGACCAGUAACCAUGGAUUCUUAUCUUUAUGCACUCACCUAUUAGAGCAGGGGGAAAUAUGCACUGAGAGGUUUCUGUAAUCUUCUAAUCGAAAAGGAGCGACCUUUCUUUUUUGAAGUCUGCAGAAAUCUGUCAGUGUGUAUUUUCCACCUUUUCUCACCUUCUCUAAUAGGUAAGUACAUAAAAACAGUGAUCCAUGGCCAACAUCUACUGGUUACAGCUUACUGUGGUUAUAUCUGGUAGUUAAUCUUUAACAUCAAUAAAGAGCCAGAGCAAA